AGCAACCCGCUUUGGUCCCCUUCCACACUGUAGCAGCUUUGUUCUUUAGCUCCUUGCAAUAAAUCUUGCUGCUGCUCACACUUUGGGUCCACACUGCCUUUAUGAGCUGUAAGACUCACCACGAAGGUCUGCAGCUUCACUCCUGAAGCCAGUGAGACCACUAACCCAGCGGGAGGAACGAACAACUCCAGACACGCUGCCUUAAGAGCUGUAACACUCCCCGCGAAGGUCCGCAGCUUCACUCCUGAGCUAGCAUGACCGCGAACCCACCAGAGGGAAGAAACUCCGAACACAUCUGAAUAUCAGAGGGAACAAACUCCGAACACGCCGCCUUUAAGAACUGUUAACACUCACCGCGAGGGUCCGCGGCUUCAUUCUUGAAGUCAGUCAGACCAAGAACCUACCAAUUCUGGACACGCUACCGGGGGACAUGAUAAAUCUGCGAAGGGCACCUCAGGUUUUAUCUUCAUCAGCCUGGUCAAAGCUGGAUUUCCAUCACACAUGUGCUCACUCCACGGAAGGUGCAAAAGGUCAAGACACACAAACUCAGAGUUUUUACAAUCAAGAAUUGAAAGU
rnacentral:antisense_RNA from 1 species